rnacentral:rRNA from 1 species
CAGCCCUUGACAUGGUCGGACGGUUACCAGAGAUGGUUUCCUUCACUUCGGUGACUGACACACAGGUGCUGCAUGGCUGUCGUCAGCUCGUGUCGUGAGAUGUUGGGUUAAGUCCCGCAACGAGCGCAACCCUCGCCCUUAGUUGCCAUCAUUUAGUUGGGCACUCUAAGGGGGCUGCCGGUGAUAAGCCGGAGGAAGGUGGGGAUGACGUCAAGUCAUCAUGGCCUUACGGGUAGGGCUACACACGUGCUACAAUGGCCGGUACAGAGGGGAGCGAAGGGGCGACCUGGAGCGAAUCCUACAAAGCUGGUCGUAGUCCGGAUUGGAGUCUGCAACUCGACUCCA